rnacentral:rRNA from 1 species
AGUGAACGCUGGCGGUAGGCCUAACACAUGCAAGUCGAACGGCAGCACAGUAAGAGCUUGCUCUUACGGGUGGCGAGUGGCGGACGGGUGAGGAAUACAUCGGAAUCUACUUUUUCGUGGGGGAUAACGUAGGGAAACUUACGCUAAUACCGCAUACGACCUACGGGUGAAAGCAGGGGAUCUUCGGACCUUGUGCGAUUGAAUGAGCCGAUGUCGGAUUAGCUAGUUGGCGGGGUAAAGGCCCACCAAGGCGACGAUCCGUAGCUGGUCUGAGAGGAUGGACAGCCAGACUGGAAGUGAGACACGGUACAGACUCCUACGGGAGGCAGCAGUGGGGAAUAUUGGACGAUGGGCGAAAGCCUGAUCCAGCCAUACCGCGUGAGUGAAGAAGGACUUCGGGUUGUAAAGCCCUUUUGUUGGGAAAGAAAAGCAGCAGGUUAAUACCCCGCUGUUCUGACGGUACCCAAAGAAUAAGCACCGGCUAACUUCGUG